UGAUGAGCUGCGUGCCAUUCCAGGGGGUGCAGCCACCACUACCCCACCCCUGUGAUUUGACUCCAUCAAUGGAUUAUGCCACAACAGGGAUGCGCAUUUUCGGGACGAGGAAGAUGAGGAGGAGGUUGAAGAUAGCGCACAGCAAGCAAGCGGAGAAACCAUUUCCCCCGAGACCCAGGAACUGUUUCUCACCCAGGACCUGGAGCCAGCAGCCCUCGAACCCACCCAAAGCGGGCUCCCGGACCCGCCAGGCGGAGAAGGGACCUCUGCUGCAAAUAUUUCUACUCUCCCCCUAUCAUCUCCGUCCCAGAGGC